UACAGAGGUCCCAAGCGUUGUUCGGAUUCACUGGGCGUAAAGGGUGCGUCGGUGGUUGGGUAAGUCUGAUGUGAAAUCUCCGGGCUCAACCCGGAAAUGGCAUUGGAUACUAUUCGGCUAGAGGUUUGGAGGGGGGACUGGAAUUCUCGGUGUAGCAGUGAAAUGCGUAGAUAUCGAGAGGAACACCAGUGGCGAAGGCGAGUCCCUGGUCCAUUACUGACGCUGAGGUGCGAAAGCGUGGGGAGCAAACAGG
rnacentral:rRNA from 1 species